ACUUUUAAAGGAUAGAAGUAAUCCAAUGGUUUUA
rnacentral:tRNA from 2 species